rnacentral:rRNA from 1 species
GACGAACGCUGGCGGCGUGCCUAAUACAUGCAAGUAGAACGCUGAAGAGAGGAGCUUGCUCUUCUUGGAUGAGUUGCGAACGGGUGAGUAACGCGUAGGUAACCUGCCUUGUAGCGGGGGAUAACUAUUGGAAACGAUAGCUAAUACCGCAUAACAAUGGAUGACACAUGUCAUUUAUUUGAAAGGGGCAAUUGCUCCACUACAAGAUGGACCUGCGUUGUAUUAGCUAGUAGGUGAGGUAAUGGCUCACCUAGGCGACGAUACAUAGCCGACCUGAGAGGGUGAUCGGCCACACUGGGACGGAGACACGGCCCAGACUCCUACGGGAGGCAGCAGUAGGGAAUCUUCGGCAAUGGGGGCAACCCUGACCGAGCAACGCCGCGUGAGUGAAGAAGGUUGUCGGAUCGUAAAGCUCUGUUGUAAGUCAAGAACGGGUGUGAGAGUGGAAAGUUCACACUGUGACGGUAGCUGACCAGAAAGGGACGGCUAACUACGUG